CGAAGGGGAAGAAGAAGGGGGUUCCCCUAAAGGGGAAGAACACACCCCAAAGUCUCUUCUUCGUUUUCUUCGUCUUCUUUAGUUCCCCUAAAGGGGAUGAACCAAAGUCUCUUCUUCUUCCCCUUUAGGGGACUCCGUCUUCUUUAGUUCCCCUAAAGGGGUGAAAACGAAGGGGAAGAAGAAGGGGGUUCCCCUAAAGGGGAAGAACACACCUUUAGUUCUUCCCCUAAAGGGGAACUUUAGGGGAUGUUCNCCUUCGGGGAUGAACUAAAGGGGAUGGGGAACAAAAAGGGGAUAACCAAAGGGGAUGACUUGGUACAAGGAAAGGGUCACGCUAAAAGAUUUGGUAAAACUUGUGGACUGUUUUGGCUCCCCGAAGCUAUUCCCCUUCCCUUCGGCAUCAUCCCCUAAAGGGGAACUAAAGUUCUUCCCCUAAAGGGGAAGAACUUUAGUGCUCUUCUUCUUCCCCUAAAGGGGAACUAAAGUUCCCCUUUAGGGGAUGAACUAAAGGGGAAGAAGGGGUGUGUUCCCCUUCGGGGAGACGAAGAAGAGACUUUGGUUCCCCUUUAGGGGACGAAGACUUUGGGGACGAUGACUUUGGUUCAUCCCCUAAAGGGGAACUAAAGAAGACAACCCUAAAGAAGACAACUCUAAAGGGGACAACCCUUUAGGAGAUAUCAUCCCCUAAAGGGGAAGAACAAGAAGGGGAAAUCAUCCCCCUCUGGGGUUGUCUUCUUUAGUUCCCCUUUAGGGGAU
rnacentral:lncRNA from 1 species